GGGGAUGUAUCUCAGUGGUAGAGUGCAUGCUUUGCAUGUAUGAGCUAUUGGGUUUAAUGCCGAGCAUCUCCA
rnacentral:tRNA from 1 species